GACACUUCACCAGUGCAGGUUGGUGACUGGGUGUUUGUGGAGGCCAUAAAAAGGAAGUGUUGGUCCAGCCCACGGGGGGAAGGGCCAUUCCAAGUCCUGCUGACUACACCAACAGCUGUAAAGAUUGCUGAAAGGACGUUUUGGAUCCACCUGUCACACUGCAAGAAAAAGCAUCUGGGUGAGGCUAAUUCCAACUGCUAGGUGGGGAAGUCUGACUACAAAGGGAGGCAGCCGUAUAGAAGCUGCUUGUCUCAACGUCAGCGAAGCCGAGCGAUCCACCUAGUCUUAGGGAAGAAAGCACACCAGAACUCUUUUGCACUACACGGAUCCUACACUGUUAGAGGACUUGAGGAGGUGAUGUGCUAGUAACCUCUCCCUCCCGAAGAUAGGAGCCACCACAAGGAUUUGGUUCUUUUGGAAUCAUUAUCCACCUGCAAGAAGAACCACCAACAAGGAAAAGAAACAUUUCUCGACGAUGGCUGAGCAUUGAUGAACAUGAUGUUUUGAAUAGUCCAAAAAUGAACAUAACUCACCUGUAUAUGACAAAUUCUUGGUAUAGGUAUGUUAUGUUACUGGCUAAAGAAAAGAAUAGAUCGGAUUGCUAUGUUUGUUCUGUAAUUGAAGCUUCAUCCCUACAUCCUAAUUUGCAGGCAAAGCAAUUUUCUGAGUGGAAGAGCGACUGUGUUAUUGAAUAUAGUACCAGAGGGUAUAUUAGUACUGGAGCCGUCACCAUUUCAAAUGGAACUCUUGUAAGACCGAGUUGUAAGAGUUUGUAUCAGUUUAAAAAACUGAAAUUGACAAAAUCAUUAGCUCCAUAUGUUAGUGUGGAACCAGGAACUGUGUUUCCAUAUUGCGUAACUAAAAAUGGCACAGAGUUUUUAGGAACUUUGCCGAUAAAGAUGUGUCAUGAACUUCUUGUUCCCUUCACAGUCCAGAUAAUCAAUGACAGAGUUUCCCAUGGUUAUGCUGUUCCCUGCCCCAGAGGAUGUUGUGUUGGAUCUAAUCCAGAUUUAAUUCCAGGUAACAAUGGUACUUAUGUGGUUCAUCAAAUGUUUUGGUUAUGUGGGCAGGCCCUCUACCUCAGUCUGCCUAGAGACUGGAGUGGGAUUUGUGUUUCUGUAAAGGUCACAGGUCACACUUUCAUAGUUUCUGCAGUCCAUGAGCCUCACCUGAGCCACAGACGUAACCUUAUUGAUGUCAAGCCACAUGAUUCCAUUUGGGGAUCACAUGUUCCUGAAGACCAUAAACACUGGAAUACUGGGGAAAAGGUAACUAUGGCAUUGUUUCCCUAGGUUGGAAAUGCUAAAAACACUUUCAGAAUUGAGACCAUUGAUUAUAGAUUAGGUUUAUUUUUGAACGCUACAAUUAAAGCAUUUAAAGGCUAUAGUGAAGAAAUGUCAAGCAUGAGACUUAUGGUUCUACAGAACAGAUUGGUUUUGGACUUAUUGGUUGCUCAGGAGGGAGGUGUUUGUAAAAUGUUAAAUUAUACCUGUUGUACAUUUAUUCCUGACAACAUCGAUGAAGGUCACAGCAUCACCGAAGCAUUACAUCAACUUGAAAAGGUUCAGCAGGCAAUUCAGAAUGACAGGAAACCCCAAUCUUGGGAUUUCUUCUCCUGGUUUUGCUUUUGGUUCCUGGUGGCAACUUUUGUUAAAAAUAGUGACACCUAUUCUUAUGGUACUGAUCACAUGUUGUGUGUUCACUAUGUGCAUUUUUCCUUGUAUUCAAUCUAUGAUUUCCAGAGCAGUGAAUGGUUGAGUACAAAGUGUUCUUAUGAGUCAAGAAUACAACUUGUUUUUAAAGGGAGAACAAGAUGACUGUAAUGAUUUUGAAACUGAAAUGACUUGAAAAAAAAAAAAAAA